GAUGACGCAAUGACUAUUGACAUGGAAACAAUUGAUGAACCAUCAGAAACAAUAACGACCACGGGUGAGAGUGAGACGCCAGGCGAAAACACUACUGCACAACAACCAUCGGAUUCUGCACAACCACCAUCGGAUUCAAUAUCUGCAGAGGAGGGAAAUUCGCAUGAUCAGCUUUGAAUACUGAUCCCGAAUGUAAUGCUUGUUCUACGAGAAGAAACUUGCUUUCAGUAUAUUAGUCUUGAGUAGAUUCGUGUUUUGGUGGAUUUUUUGGUUUAUAAGUAGAAAAGCAAAAAUAAUUCGUACAUCAGAGUUUGGGUUAUUUUUGAAUUAGUGACAAAAGGGCAUCAUUUUCAACUUA